rnacentral:tRNA from 1 species
GAAGGUAUAGUUCAGUGGUAGAAUGUGUGCUCCGUAUGCAUGAGGUCCUGGGUUCAAUCCCUAGUACCUCG